rnacentral:lncRNA from 1 species
UCUCCAAUUUCUUCUACGUAUUUCCGCACCUCAAAAAUCGGUAAUUUACUCUCUCAUACGAACUUCCAUCUUUGUUUUUCUCGCCCAUUUUACCCAAUUCAGCUGCUCCUGCUCAAUCCAAUCCGGCGCAGAAAUUGAUCCGAUAGGUAAGUUGAAUUGAUUUCUGGAAUUUUGGUCUUUCUCGUUGUUGCGAUCAAGGAAAAAUUAGAUCUUAUGUGAUUCAAUUGUUGUGACUUGUUGCUGUUUAUGAAUUUUGAGAGUUUGAAGAAUAAAUUAUCCUGCUUUUUCGCCAGAGAAAUUAUGCUUUUAUCCUGGUAGAGAAAAUGAUUGGAUGCAUCUGCAGCCUAUACCUGAAAAAUGGAACAAUUAAACGUGAAUUUGGUGUUUAGAAAUGGUAAGCCGGUCGCCGGCCGACCGGUGUGCGUUGAAGCGUGUGGAGAUGUCGGAAAUGGCGGUGUGGCACGUGUUAAGUCGGUUGACUUACUAUCAUUCUCUUUAAACUAGUGAUUGCCGUAAUAGCUUUGUUUAAUAUAAGUGGCUCAUAUUUGAUCGAAAAGCAGCAGACAUUCUUGUGUGGUAUCCGGUAAAAAUAAAAUAAAAAUUGUUCGCCA